ACCGAUAUUGUAAUAAAUGCUUCUGAUGGUAGCAUAGGAGCUCAUCGCGCUGUUCUUGCUGCAAGGUCCCCUGUUUUCCGCAGCAUGUUCUCACACGACCUUAAAGAGAAAGAACUGUCGACCGUAAACAUCUCUGACAUGUCAAGUGAGGCUUGUCAAGCUCUUCUAAGUUAUAUUUACGGAAAUAUACCAAACGAAGUAUUUCUUACCCACCGUCUGGCUCUUCUCCGAGCAGCUGAUAAGUAUGACAUCUCGGAUUUGAAAGAGGCAUGCCACGAUAGUCUACUUGAAGACAUUGAUACCAAGAAUGUGCUCGAGAGACUCCAAAGCUCUUCGCUAUUUCAAUUGCCAAAAUUGAAGACCAGCUGCAUGCGGUAUCUUGUGAAGUUUGGUAAGAUAUAUGAUCUCCGAGAUGAUUUGAAUACCUUUCUGCAGUCUGCAGAUAGGGAACUUAUAGCUGAAAUCUUCCAUGAAGUUCUUGCUACCUGGAAAGGUUUCUGAAAAUUUGUGUUUAAAUUGAAAGCCGNNNNNNNNNNNNNNNNNNNNNNNNNNNNNNNNNNNNNNNNNNNNNNNNNNNNNNNNNNNNNNNNNNNNNNNNNNNNNNNNNNNNNNNNNNNNNNNNNNNNGGUUAGAAAAAUUGUAUUGUACCAAAUUUGUUGCAGUGGAAUUAUAUUCUUUUGCUGGAUUGCAAUUUGUUGUUGUACAGUACAGACUACAGAAUAUCUAUAUUGAUUUCAAUGAAAAACAAAUCUUAUUUCUUGGAUUAUUUUGGUGCUAUACUGCUGAUUUUGCAGAAAUUAGAGGAAUAUGUUGAUAAGUUGAAUGGUAUAUUGAUAUAUGUAUGAUAUAAGAAGAGUUGAGCUUCAGCAAAGUAGUCCUAUGUCACUUACAAACUCAUGCAUUAAAAGAGCUUUGUAGUAUUAAUAAAGCAAAGCUUGUACCAAAAACAACAACACUGAAGCACUAAAUCAUAAAUCUACCCGGAAUGUCUUGAAUGUUUUCAUAACUUGAGAAUAUUUCUGCCCAUUGACAUAUUUCAAAAUCUAAACAUGAUGAACAUAGAGUGAGCUCAUGUCCACACCAAAAUUUACUCUCCUUCCCACAAAAAUAGUUUCAUUCGAGUUUGGUAUAUUAAUUAAUUUACAAAAACAUAAAAUUUGAAUUGUGAUAUACAUUUAUUUUGAUUUUUAAAAUAACAAUUUUGUGCUUGCAAUACUUUCAAAGAAGUUUUCUGUAUUAAUUAUUACGUCAUUCAAAAACGAAUAAAUUCACAUCUAUUUCAAAUUCAAGAUUUCACAAAUUUUGUUUUUUUGCCUAAUUUUUCAGGCUUCCAAGCUUUAGCCUGCUCAGGCUAAAGCCCAGUCCAGGCUUAAGCCGGACCUGUUCAGGCUCCAGGCUAGUACAGGCCUUGUGUUAGGUUAACCAGGUCUGUCCUUGGUAGGGGUGUUCAAAACAACCGUUUUUUUUUGUUUUUCGGUUUUUUCGGACCGAAUCGGUCGGUUCGGUAUAAAAAAGAACCGGUCCGAUUCGGUACAAAAAACCGGUAUAUACCGAUUUUUCGGUACCGGUUUCGGUCCGACGUUUGUAUGGUUCGGUUUUACUGGACCGGUAUAUACCGGUUUUCUAAUUUUUUAUUAAUAAUAAUAAAAUAAUGAUUAUAAUAAUAAAAAUAAUAAUAAUAUUAAUAAAAAUAAUAAUACUAUUAUUAAAAUAAUAAUAAUAAUAAUAAUAAUAAUAAAAUAAUGAUUAUAAUAAUUAAAAUAAUAAAAUAAAAAUAAAAUUAUAUUAAUUUUCGGUAAAAACCGGUACCGAACCGAUACCGCCGGUUCGGUAUACCGGUUUAACCGGUACCGAUAUCGGUUCAUGAAAUUGACUACUAUCGGUAUUCGAUUCGAACCAAUCCGAUUCAGUUUUUUACCGAUGAACACCCCUAGUCUUUGGGGGAGGAAAAAGGGAUUGUUUAGGUUGAUUCAGAUCCAGGCCGCCUCUACUAUUGAGUAUUGGUUUCACAAAAGACUGGUUUUCUUAUACUCUUUUGCUUCUUUUACCCAACACCAAAAGGAAAAUUAUAUAUGUUUUGAUUUUAUGCAGAUUUUUUGUUGCGAGUUAAGUACACAACUAUAUUUUGGUAAUAUUUUAACGACGCAUUUGAUAUAGUGGGUCAACUUUAUAAUUAUAUCCAAUUUUAUGUAUUAAUAUACAUCACUGUUGGGAUAUUUCACAUAAAUUUCACAUCAUAUAAAUUCAAGAAUAUAGAUGGUUUAAUAAGGAUCCGGUUACCAUGAAGUUAACUUCAUGGUAAGUUGAUCAAUUGACCAAUACAGUGCUGACACGCAGAGAAAGAGAUCACCUCCCGCUUGCGUGUCAACAUUAUAUUGGUCAAUUAAGUAUCAAAGUUUAUGGUUCGUUGGGCCCAAGUAUCAAGUUGACACUUCAAGCUGAAAAAGUUGCUCAAGAUGAAGGGUUCACAAGAGUCGAGCAGAGCUCUUGAAGGACUCAAAGAAGGUGUGUCUCAACCUAAUAGGUUAACCUUUUAGUUAAGGAGAUAGUUCAACAUACCAGUUGUGGGGAUAAUCAGGAAAGCCCGCGCGUUGCGUGUUCAUACACAAGGCACCAACAUACAUAAAUGGAUCCAAGAACUAUUAGACAUGCACUAAAAACAUACUUAGAGAGCAUUUAGUUUGUAACGAAAUGGAUCUCCGAGCUAAGCAGCUUAUGAAUUUCUCUUUCCAGGUUCACUUGUGUACACGUUCUUACAUUUGUAUGGUUAUAAAAUUACAUAAAAUUUAAUUUUUUUUUCAAAUGUUAAUACGGUGACAGGCUAAUAAUAAUAAUAAUAAUAAUAUAAUUAAUUACAUAUUAUAUUAAUAGCAUUUGACUCAAACUAAUGAUUCUGUAAAUGUUAAUAAGUAAAAUAAAAACCUUACCUAGUUGAAAUUCCGCCUCUUCUCUCUCUUGUCUUCUCCAAUAUCUCAACCUUCUUGGGAAGAAAAGAAAAAGUGAAGAGAUUCUCUGCUGGGGGUGGGG
rnacentral:lncRNA from 1 species